rnacentral:rRNA from 1 species
AUUGAACGCUGGCGGCAGGCCUAACACAUGCAAGUCGAGCGGAUGAAGGGAGCUUGCUCCUGGAUUCAGCGGUGGACGGGUGAGUAAUGCCUAGGAAUUUGCCUGGUAGUGGGGGAUAACGUCCGGAAACGGGCGCUAAUACCGCAUACGUCCUGAGGGAGAAAGUGGGGGAUCUUCGGACCUCACGCUAUCAGAUGAGCCUAGGUCGGAUUAGCUAGUUGGUGGGGUAAAGGCCUACCAAGGCGACGAUCCGUAACUGGUCUGAGAGGAUGAUCAGUCACACUGGAACUGAGACACGGUCCAGACUCCUACAGGAGGCAGCAGUGGGGAAUAUUGGACGAUGGGCGAGAGCCUGAUCCAGCCAUGCCGCGUAUGUGAAGAAGGUCUUCGGAUUGUAAAGCACUUUAAGUUGGGAGGAAGGGAAGUAAGUUAAUACCUUGCUGUUUUGACGUUACCGACAGAAUAAGCACCGGCUAACUUCGUG